AUUGAACGCUGGCGGCAUGCUUUACACAUGCAAGUCGAACGGUAACAGGCCGCAAGGUGCUGACGAGUGGCGAACGGGUGAGUAAUGCAUCGGAACGUGCCCAGUCGUGGGGGAUAACGCAGCGAAAGCUGCGCUAAUACCGCAUACGAUCUAUGGAUGAAAGCGGGGGACCGUAAGGCCCCGCGCGAUUGGAGCGGCCGAUGUCAGAUUAGGUAGUUGGUGGGGUAAAGGCUCACCAAGCCGACGAUCUGUAGCUGGUCUGAGAGGACGACCAGCCACACUGGGACUGAGACACGGCCCAGACUCCUACGGGAGGCAGCAGUGGGGAAUUUUGGACAAUGGGCGCAAGCCUGAUCCAGCAAUGCCGCGUGCAGGAAGAAGGCCUUCGGGUUGUAAACUGCUUUUGUACGGAACGAAAAGGCUCUGGUUAAUACCUGGGGCUCAUGACGGUACCGUAAGAAUAAGCACCGGCUAACUACGUGCCAGCAGCCGCCGUAACAC
rnacentral:rRNA from 1 species